rnacentral:rRNA from 1 species
ACGUACGCUCCUACGGGAGGCAGCAGUGGGGAAUUUUGGACAAUGGGCGAAAGCCUGAUCCAGCAAUGCCGCGUGAGUGAAGAAGGCCUUCGGGUUGUAAAGCUCUUUUGUCAGGGAAGAAACGGUGAAAGCUAAUAUCUUUUGCUAAUGACGGUACCUGAAGAAUAAGCACCGGCUAACUACGUGCCAGCAGCCGCGGUAAUACGUAGGGUGCAAGCGUUAAUCGGAAUUACUGGGCGUAAAGCGUGCGCAGGCGGUUUUGUAAGUCUGAUGUGAAAUCCCCGGGCUCAACCUGGGAAUUGCAUUGGAGACUGCAAGGCUAGAAUCUGGCAGAGGGGGGUAGAAUUCCACGUGUAGCAGUGAAAUGCGUAGAUAUGUGGAGGAACACCGAUGGCGAAGGCAGCCCCCUGGGUCAAGAUUGACGCUCAUGCACGAAAGCGUGGGGAGCAAACAGGAUUAGAAACCCGUGUAGUCCCAUG